rnacentral:lncRNA from 1 species
AAGAAAAAAAAAGGUUUGCAUACAGAUAAUAUAUAAAUAAAUAAAUAUUAUCCGUAACAGUGCUGCCUGCCUGUGUCAGCUCCGCCUCCGUGAGCUGCUGGAGCCUCACACCGGGAUUCCACAUCUCACGUCACCGCCCCGCUCCAGCCCGCCGCGGGCCGCCUCCGAAGGAUUCCGAAAUCAAACGCCCACUGCACACGUCUUGCUCCGUCUGGGCUCCACUCCGCCCAACCGCGGAGCUGAGGAGAGCAUGCGCAAGACGUACGAGAUCACGCGAUAAAAUGUGUGUACAAAAAUGCACGUAGGACAGAGUUAAAGUGAUAGUCUGGAUGUUGUCAGAAAGAGAGAGAGAGAGGGACUCUUUUUGAAAAAAACGGCCCAAGCUCCCUCCCCCUCCCGUCCUGAUUGGUCUUGGAAGCCACGCCUGUUUUCCCGUGCACGCGCGAGGUUCAAUGGGCCAAGAAGUGACGAGGAGGAGACAUUACGGUGACAGUGUCAACAAUGGAGUUAUCCGAGGUAACGAUGCAUUUAUGGUACAAAAUGUUUGUGUUUUGGGGAUAACACGUUUAUGCAGCUAACUCUGUACUAAAAUUUCAAUUAAACGGGCAUAUCCAGUGAACAUGUAGUUUUGACAUAGUUUAGCAUGUAACAUGGUUUACUUUUAUGAUGCUAACAGUUACAAAGUUAGCGUACGAUUUACUGUCCGGUCCUGUCUGUCAUCUUUUUUGUGUUUUAAACCACUUUAGAUUUGGGCCUUCUUGCUUAUGUUUUGUUUUUUCUAAUUAUGUUUUAUCUUUUUUGUCUUCAAAACUCUGUGAGAGACUCCGAUGAUAAAUAAACCCCACCUGCAGCAUCAAGCAAACGAUUCUAGAUGCUCCAAAAGCAUCUGUGGCCAGAGGCAGCUGGAGACCCAGCUUAGACUUUAGUGAAGAGGAUUCAGCCCGUGUUCAUAACCUAAGAAUGCAGAGGCUACACUUCGAACGUGGAGUAGGACACAUACAGAAUAUGACUCUGGAGAUCAAGACGUGUUAUUCAGGGUGGAGGACAAAGACCCUGGUGUUCUGUUUGACAUCACCUCUCACACUGCACCUCCUGGAAGACACUCACCCACUGAAAAUCAGCCCCCCGGUGCAGAUGUGCCCACUGCCGGGAAACGCCCACCUCUAGAGAACUUCAUAUCUAAAGUGCCACACGUGGAGACUAAUUCAGACACAUUUUCUGAUCCUGAUGGGCACUACAUUGGAUUUAUACCACAUCGAUUGUAAUUUACAUUUCAAUUGAAGUCACUUUGCUUUGUUUUAUGAGAAUAAAGAAUGCAAUAUAAGACAGACUUGUACUUUCAAAGCACAACUAACAUAUUGCCUAAAAAAGCUCUUGCACAGAAAUAGCAUCUCAUAACUUGUCAGGAAAACAUUUGUUUACAGAUAUAAACAAACAAUGGUCAACUAUUUUUCAACAAAAACUUUAUUUACAAUUAAAAUGACAAAUUAUUGAUAUUUCUGUGGCAAUCGUUGACCUGCAAAAAAGCAAA